AAGUCGUAACAAGGUAACCGUAGGUGAACCUGCGGUUGGAUCAUUAAAAAAUCAAAAGCCUGUCAUCGAGUACCCCUUUGUCAAGGGCAAAGCUGGAGAAAAAUGAAUGUUGGCACCACAUCUUGUGAACCGUAUUUGUCUUUGGUGGUUGGGCGGUUUGCUUGUUUCAAGCUUCCGUCUGUCAGCUUGUGCUUUACAGCGCAAGCCGUGGACAAGCCACCGUCUGUUUGUUCAAACCUAAUUGUCUUCUUUUUUCUUGUCUAACAUUUUUUUUGUAUAAAUAUACAAACAACUUUUGGCAACGGAUCUCUUGGUUCUC
rnacentral:misc_RNA from 1 species